rnacentral:lncRNA from 1 species
GGGGGGGAGCAGGGGCAGGCCGAGACAGGAGGAGCAAUAAUAGCUGAGUCAGAAGCAGCGGAAGGACACCCUUUUCUUCCAGAAACACAUUCUUGGGUAAGCCUUUCAUCGGCCUGGGCUGAGCUGUCGGAGACCUGCCACUAAAUAUACAUAAGACACCUUCAGGCUGGAUUUCAUCUUAAGACCUCAAUUAAAUAUCACCCCGCCUUCCUGAUUCUUAUUAUCAAUAAUACCUCUAAUAUUCUUGUUAUUAUUUUGCAAACGACGUUUCGGCGGCGGAUGUCCCCUUGGAACUGCAGCGGGAGCCACGCCCAGGAGGGCGCUCACCUGCUGCGCGGAGCCCGGGACUUUGCCCCAUCCGCGUCCCUUGCCUCUUCCCCACUCCCCCUAGGCUGAUGGAUAUCCUUGGAUGUGGAGCCCUUUAAAAAUGACAAAUGCCUUGUCAGUACAGACCAUCCCUCCCCUCCUGCUUUCUAAUCUUUUUUUUUUUUUCGGAGCAAGGAUGGACCCAGACUCAAGCCUAGCGGCGCGGAUUACAUGGCCUGCGUUGUACCGUAAACGCCAAAACCUUGGCCUAAUUUACAGCUAAUAGAUCUCAAGCAAGGGAGUCGGGAAGAAAUCAGUGGCCUAAGGAGUUAGAUUGGGGCUUUGGAGGGAUCGGAAAUUAGGGACUGGAAGUAGGAUGUGAUUCACAUUAUUCACCGCUCCCCCCAACACACACACACACACACACGACCAGGCGCCUCCCGGCUCGGCCUUCGCGAAUGCGGCCCUUGGUUCUCCGCGGCCUGUGUCCCUGUCGCUCGCUUCCCUCCAUCGGGACCACACUGAGCGUCAGGGGCGCCUGCGAUGCGCUCAGACCCCUCGCCCUCCUCCCGGCUUCUCCCAGCCCCCGGGAGGAGGCGCUGGCGCCCGGGUCGGCCUCUGGUCCCUCCUCGUCGGCGUCCCCGGAGCCCCCAUUCACAAAGCCGCGCUUGGAGGAGGCGACACACACACACACACACACACACACACACACACACACAGACACACAGACACACACACACACACACACACACACACACACACACACACAGACACACACACACACACCCCGAAGAGGGGAGCUUGAUCUUGUCUCAUUGGUGUCUCGGGCCUGAAAGGAAAAUCGUUUGGGUAAACAGCCAAGCUUCCAGGCUUAGCGCCCGGCUCCCGCCCCCGCCCCCCGCCCCUCCGCCUCCCCCACUCCCCUUCCACCCCGCCCGCCACCCACACUCCGCUCCGCAGCCGGGCCCCGAGCGAGCUCCGCGCCGCCGGCCGGGAGUCCGGGGCUCACGAGUUCAAAGGGCCGCGGCCCCGAGGGGAUGCCCUCCUCGCUGUGCCCCGGGGGGCAGAAGCGGACCGCAGGGCGGUGGGACCGGCCCGGGCCACGAUAGAAAGGUGUCCAUAACUGGGGUAGUUGACUCAAAAUAGCAAUGAUGACAACAAUAGUGUGGUAACGACCUAGAUUGAGCACUCACUAUGCAUCAGAGACCUGGCCACCCACUGUGAUUUUCUGUGAUCCUUACAGCAGCUGGAGGAGGACUGAUGGGCUAAACAGACUUAAUGCUUGGCUGUCAGCAUCCCUGUGGAAGACUCCAGCAGACCCACAUGUCCUACGGUUCAACUUUUCAAACCUACCUCUUUGUAAUUCCUAAGUAGGAGUCUGAGCUCUGUUGUCAUAUUUCAGUUUUACAGUUACUCUGAAAUAUUUUGAUCCAAAUAUGCCCUUAGUGUCAUGCUUUAUUAAUGCGAUAUGACUCAUAUUAGUGACUGCUUGUUCUUGAGCCAUAUGCCCUGAAUAAGUUAUUGGGUUUCACUGUUUACCCUAAGUUUAAAAAAAAAUUCCAUGCGCUCUGACCUCGUGACAACUAAACCCUGCUCAUGCAGUUAAAACAGGAAAACUAGUUAUCUGAUAUCAUGAAGGCAAAUCAGCUUGUAGAAGCCCUCAGAUGUUUCCAUUCCCACUGGUGGGAGGGCAUUGUGGGAGCCAUGGAUUAUUCAUCAAGAAAGCACAGGAGAGAAUUUCUUUUUUGUUUGUUGAUUUCCAAAGUAAACCCAAGUAUAAAGAG